AAAUUAUUAUUAUUAAAAGUAAAGUAAAUAAAAAGGAAAUAAAGGAAAGAAACAAAAGAAUAAAAAGAAGGAAGGAAACAGAAUAGCAGGAAACGAAACAGAGAAGAAACAGGGGAGAAAGAAAGAAAGAAAAGAAAAAGGGAAAAUAGGGUUUAAAGGUUCCAAGUUAAUUUGUUAACAAAGAACCCAAGACAUCGGCGCACAAAGGAAAGGAGAAAGCUAUCGAGGAUUAAAACGAGAAAUUCACGGUUAAUAGGAGUCUAGUACCCCGGUCCAACAUCUGAACGAUCCCGACUCCAGCAAAUUUUGGGUGAUGUUUUCUUUCUUAAUUGAAAGUGGCAUGUACUAGGUGUUGUAUAAGUUAUAUAGAUAUACUUGUAAAGUUGGUUAUAAGAAUGGUAUACCAUAUUUUGUUAUUCGUUUGAUAAAAUGGUAAAUAUUAUACUAUAUAAUUUGGUAUAAGUUGGAAUGAAAAAUGAAUGAAGUUAUUAGUUAAUUUGGAUUAAAA